GCUGGGUGUUGCCUAGCAGGGGAGAAAAAGCUCCGACGCCAGAAAUGAAGGAGGGAGGAGGACCUCGGAGGGGAGGAAGAGGAGGCGCAGAACCAGGAGACGGAGUUUGGGGGAACAACCGCUGCGGAGCGCGCAGGACCCAGAGGACUCAAAGGGGACCUGGAGGGUGACGACGCCUUCGUGGCCGGGGGUGAAGAGGAGGAAAGCCGCGCGGGCGGAGAGGCGCUGGUGGGUCCCAGGCUGGAGGCUGCGGGUCUGAGAGGCUUCGGAAGCCCAGGGCAGCCCGGGCCACGCCUGAAAACGAGGGCAGCUGAGCGCACGCCAGGGAGAGGCACCCGCGUCCGGGACCGGCCGCGGUGGGAGCCAGACUCGCGAAACCGGCGGGCCUGAGGCUGGGACCUGCGCGGGGGCGGACGCGGCACAGCCGGGGGGCCGGUCCCGCGGGCCCCGCCCCGCCACGCCCCCCAGCCUGGAGCCCCGGCCCCCGUCCGCAGAGGAGACGGCCCCGGAAAAGCCAGAGUCUUGGAAGGGAGCGCGGGACGGAGCCGGCAACAGCGUCCGCGACCCGCGAACCGCGACCCGCGACCCGGCUCUGAAGCGGGGACGACCGGAGCUUCCGCCCGCAGCCCAACCUCCCAGGCGCCCGGCAAGACUGGCUGGCGCGGACCCUUUAAGGAAGCCGGGGGCGUGGCCCGGGGCGGGGCUUCAGGGGCGGGGCCCGGGCGGGGCCUUCGCGAAGCUGCCGGAAGGUGCGGCCCCAGAGCGCCCGCGAGCGGCGCGGUGAGACAUGGCCUCGGGCAGCCAGAUGAGAAGUACGACGUGGGAGACAGGGAGCACUUGGAUACCCUCGGAGACCCAGUGGAGCCCGACGAUGGAGAAGGCGGGGGCUGUGGUGCACCUCAAGCAGCCCCUCAAGGCCACAAGGAUCAGUGCUCGGAGCCUGGAGCGCUGUGUGCAGGAGCUUAGCAGGGCCACCGAUGCCAGCGGGAAGGCCAGGCAGGGCUUCUGGGUGGAGUUCGAGGUGUGUCCUGACCUCUGCGACCCUCAGACUCUGUCCCCUGGGGCUGGGAGCACAGGGUCCGGGACUGUAGGGUCCAGCCCUGCGGGGCUUAGCGGGCGUUCUCCCCAUGUGCGGAAACGAGAGAUUGUAAUAAAGACACAAGACAGCGAUAAAGAGAAAGCAGCUGGGCCCAGGGAACCACUGCCAUCAAGACACGGAGACCGGUAGUGGCCCCGAACGGCUGGGGGCGCUGAUAUUUAAUGGAUACAAGACAAGGGGGCAGGGUAAGGAGGGUGAAUCUUCUAAGUGAUUGACAAGGUGAAGCAAGUCAUGUGAUCACGGGACAGGGGGCCCUUCCCUUUUAGGUAUCAGAAGCAGAGCGAAGGCAGCAUACCUCAGCGUUUUCUUCUCUGCACUUACAAGAAAGACCAAAGGCUUUAAGAUUUUCACUAUUUCUUCUACCGCUGUCUACUACGCACUUCAAAGAGGAACCAGGAGUACGGGAGGAGCAUGAAGGUGGACGAGGAGCAUGACCACUGAAGCACAGCGCCACAGGGAGGGGUUUAGGCCUCCGGAUGACUGCGGGCAGCCCUGGAUGAUAUCCAGCCUCCCACAAGAAGCUGGUGGAGCAGAGCGUUCCCUGACUCCUCCAAGCAAAGGAGACUCCCUUUCGCGGUCUGCUAAGUAACGGGUGCCUUCCCAGACACUGGCGUUAUCGCUUGACCAAGGAGCCCUCAAGCGGCCCUCAUGCGGCGUGACAGAAGGCUCACCUCUUGUCUUCUUCGUCACUUCUCACAAUGUCCCUUCAGCACCUGACCCUACACCCACCCGUUAUUCCUAGGUUAUAUUAGUAAUGCAACAAGGAGUAAUAUUAAAAGCUAAUGAUUAAUAAUGUUUAUAAUAAUGAUUGAUAAUUGCCCGUGAUCAUCUCUGUAUCUAAUUUGUAUCAUGACUAUUCUUACUCUAUUUUCUUUAUUAUACUGAAACAGUUUGUGCCUUCAGUCUGUUGCCUCAGCACCUAGGUUCUCUUCUGCCCACACAGGACAAGGUGGGGUUGGCCAUCUAGGGCUCUGGGAAGGAGCCUGGGCUGUGAACUGAAGGCUCCAUCACCUCCAGAUGCUGCAGCAGCAGGAAUGCUGGUUCCUGUACCCUGGAAAGGAGGGGCAGAGGGUAGAGAACAAGCCCAAGAAUCACUGUGAGGGCAGAGGCCAGGGCGUCACCCGUCGGGCCUGGGGAAGGUCGGGGGCAAGCCAAGCAUCUGCCACCACGGACCUGAGGCUUCCCCUCCCACACCCUGGACCCUCCAUCUCUGCUCACCACGGGGUCUGCAGGCAAAGAGGCAGGGUUGGGCCCACGAGCUCUGCCCUGGAGAACUGAGCGGCACCUCCCUUCCCAGUUGACACCACCUGAGUCAUCUUGCUCGACAAGGAUGACAGUGGGCCUGGAGCCGACUACAUCAGGGUGGGUGUGCGCAGGAGGUGGGGCCUGGGCCCAUUGCUCCUGGGGGGCCCAGGAAGAACCAGGGUCCCCAGGGGAGGGGUGGGCAGCAGUCCCCAAGGGGUCCUCAGAGAGGCUGGACGGGCAUAGGUCCUCAGCCCCUUGCUGGCCUGGAGUGAGGAGUGUGUUUGAGCCACCAGAGCUCCUUUGCUUAGUAUUUGCAUAAUAUUUGCAUAGCAUUUGCAUGGACUUGUUUGUCCUCUGGAAACAGCAGCAGUUGGCCUCAUCCCCUUUCAGACUGACCCUGAGGAGGAGCCAGGCCAUGGCGGGUGUACAUCGCCACACAGGGCUGUCUGCAGGCCGUGGUGCACCAGGAGAACAUGCGUGGCAUUGUCACCACCAGCAGGGAGGUGGAGCGAGGCCGGGUAGGGGCGUGGUGCCAGCACUCCCAGUGCCCAUCCCACCCUGUGCAUCUUCAGCUGCCCAAGGCCCUUCCCGACCAGGCCAAGGAGCCUGUGGGACGCUGUGGGAGUGGGGAGGCUCCCACAGAGCCCCAUGGCUGCAUGUACACGCAUGCAUCUCUGCAGGGCGCAGGGGCAGGGUGUUGGGGGCCUGCCGGCAAGGCUGAUGCGAACCACUCCCCCAAGAACAAGUGUUUCCGGGACUGGCCCAGAGUUUGGCUGGGUGCAUGUGGGCAUCCUGGGUGAGGGCCAGGCCCAGGGCUACUGCGUGCAGGAGCUGCAGGUGUGGCGGCCGGGCCAGGUGAGCCUGGC
rnacentral:lncRNA from 1 species